GUAUUACCGCGGCUGCUGGCACGAAGUUAGCCGGUGCUUAUUCUGUUGGUAACGUCAAAACAGCAAGGUAUUAACUUACUGCCCUUCCUCCCAACUUAAAGUGCUUUACAAUCCGAAGACCUUCUUCACACACGCGGCAUGGCUGGAUCAGGCUUUCGCCCAUUGUCCAAUAUUCCCCACUGCUGCCUCCCGUAGGAGUCUGGACCGUGUCUCAGUUCCAGUGUGACUGAUCAUCCUCUCAGACCAGUUACGGAUCGUCGCCUUGGUAGGCCUUUACCCCACCAACUAGCUAAUCCGACCUAGGCUCAUCUGAUAGCGUGAGGUCCGAAGAUCCCCCACUUUCUCCCUCAGGACGUAUGCGGUAUUAGCGCCCGUUUCCGGACGUUAUCCCCCACUACCAGGCAGAUUCCUAGGCAUUACUCACCCGUCCGCCGCUGAAUCCAGGAGCAAGCUCCCUUCAUCCGCUCGACUUGCAUGUGUUAGGCCUGCCGCCAGCGUUCAAUCUGAGCCAGGAUCAAACUCUA
rnacentral:rRNA from 1 species